CAAAGGCAUCAAGAUGGCACAUGGAAACUUGGGCGAAGAGCAGAAAGAUGACCAGUGUAGCUAAAGUUUAUGAUCUGUUAUGGGAGUAUCGUUUCACACAAAAAGAUUAGGAUGGGGCCAUGUUGUGAAGGUGGGGUCAGGUUCUUCAAAUAGUAACUUAAAUUAGAUCCUAGGGGUUAUAGGGAACCUCUGAAGAUUAUAGAAUAGGAGAGUGGCAUGAUUAGAACUGUGCUUUAGAAAAAUCAUUUUUUGCAACUAUGUGAAGGAUAAAUUUAGAGAAAGCAGAGAUUGAAUUCAGGGAGACCAGACCAGGUACAAGUCUAAGACAACUGAGCAUUCUUCCUGGAAUCCAGCCUGCUUGGAAAGUGAUUACUUGAAAACCAAAUGGACAGUGACAUAGCAAAGUGAGAGAGACCACAUCAACCCAGGAUGUGGAAGGCCAUUGGACAGCAGAGAGCAGGAAGGUCUAAAAACAGGAGCUCAGCCAGUCGGCGGUCUGACAAGUGUCCUGAGUCACGUCAGCCAGAGUUGAUGCAGAGGAACACAGGGAGGAGAGAGGGAGGGGGCAGGAGGCAGAGGAGCACAGAGCAAGCCUGGGGCUGGUUGAAGAGCAGUGGUAUAAAAUAUAUGGUAGGCUGCUGGGCCUCUAAUGCUGUCAUCAGGAAAUAUCACAGCCCAGAAAGGCCUUUUAUAGUUUCUAGGGAAGCCCUCUCCUCAAGCCAUUCUAAAAGGGGUUUCCUUUUUAAUUCUGCUAGGUGAGUUUGCAAAAGAAGGACCAAGAAGCCUAUUGGGACAAAAGAGGUGUCAGGAAGUUGCUAAAAGAGAUAUGAAAGGAUAUUAAAGAUCAAAUUAUCUGUCUCUUUAA